UACGGAGGGGACUAGCGUUGUUCGGAAUUACUGGGCGUAAAGCGCACGUAGGCGGAUUUGUAAGUCAGGGGUGAAAUCCCGGGGCUCAACCUCGGAACUGCCUUUGAUACUGCAAAUCUCGAGUCCGGAAGAGGUGAGUGGAAUUCCUAGUGUAGAGGUGAAAUUCGUAGAUAUUAGGAAGAACACCAGUGGCGAAGGCGGCUCACUGGUACGGUACUGACGCUGAGGUGCGAAAGCGUGGGGAUCAAACAGG
rnacentral:rRNA from 1 species